rnacentral:rRNA from 1 species
GGACUACCGGGGUAUCUAAUCCUGUUUGCUACCCAAGCCUUCGUUCCUCAACGUCAGUUUUUAGAUAAAAGGUUGCUUUCGCCCUUGCCUGUCUUCAUGGUAUCAACAAAUUUUAUCUUUACUCCAUGAAUACUCCCCUUCUCAUAUAAAACUCUAGUAAUAUUGUACCCUAUUACGGGUUAAUAAUACCGUCUAGGUACCCUUUAAACCUAAUAAAGAUGAAUAACACUAGUCUUCUACGUAUUACCGCGGCUGCUGGCAC